rfam:Thermoplasmatales archaeon A-plasma AMDT1_APLC00020, whole genome shotgun sequence.
CGUGACGGCCAGAGCGGCAGGGUCACACCCGGUCUCAUUCCGAACCCGAUGGUAAAGCCUGCCACGUUUCGCACGUGUACUAUCUUCCGCGAGGGGAUGGGAAAUGCGAUUCGCUGUCAUAU